GCCGCCCAGAGGGUGGUUGGGGAAACCCAGCCAGAUGGGCGGGAUAUGAAUAAUAAAAUUAUCGUUGCUGUUGCAAACCUUUACAGGUUUGGAAUUGACAUCUGCUGGUGUCCACCUCAGUUUUAUUGCUGACCUACAACUGCCUCUGGCUCCUGAUACUCAGCCUUUAAAUAGGAAGUGAAUCAGAUUUGUCCCCUGUCCCCACUCUUGACAUAAAUGGGCCAAAUAAAAUGAAAAACUAAAAUAUGGCACUCCCCCAAAACAGAUACUUAGACUUUUCAGAAGACUAUUCCUGAAAAUACUCCACAAAAGGCGAAGUAAAAUGAAUGAGUAGCAAAAUUAAGACUACUUUUUAACCCAGGAAAAUCUUCUCAAAAGUCGGGGGUCAUCUUAUACGCUGGGUCGUCUUAUAUGCAUCCGCAGAAGCGUUUUCUGGCGCUGUGGACAUUUUGGAAAUGGGCAGCACGAGCAUGUCCGGCCCACGGACGAUCGUAGGAAGAGGGGUAGUCUUAUAUGUUGUCCCUGUUUCCAUGACAGCAUUGAUCAGGAAAAACUGAGCUUGUGGCAAAGAUGCUGAAUUGGAGCAGCUUCUGAGUUGGAGUGAACAAGGAGGCCUGAAGGACUGAGAAAAUGAGACAAUAACGUCAGGUCACGUCUCCCUCGUAAGCACCCCUCUCUGGCCGCAGCAUUUAGGAAGUGCUGCAACAACGUAAUCUCUCUUUUGCUCUGUGGUUUCCUUUCAGCUUCCUAAGAGCUCGAAAGGAAGGAGCAGGACCCUGCCCAGAGGUGGAGAAAUGUAUACAACCCUAAGUACGCAAAACUAUGAAGAGAAAAUUAUGCAGUUAUCAACAUAACUUGUUCUGCAAAAUAUUUCCAGCCAUUAGGGAGAUGAAGGAGGCUUCCUCAGGCAGCAGCUUCUGGUCCAGUUAAAGCCCAAGCCCAGAAUGAGAACGCCUAAAAAUUUCUUGAGCGUUUUCGCAUUCCCUGAGAAAGACAAGCGGGCCGAAUAAUUCACCCUCCUGGCCGAUAUUUCUGGGCUUUGGGGCGUCUCUGAAACAGAGAAAGGAAAGUCUUCUGCCGUGAUGCACACGCACGGAGAAGAAGGGGAGCGUCAGCAGCGCCCCGACGCCGCUCCAGCGAGA